AUGAGCAUCCAGCUUUCACAGGCACACCUCACAACACCUCACAACCCGGCCGGCAGCAAAACCAUGGAAGGAAGCGGGCCGCCAUUCCGAGCGAUCAGGCCGAGCAAAGGUGCCAUACUAGUGAAGUAUAGUACUGCUAAGCAAACAUCCAUCUUUUGCCUUGCCGUCGGUUUUGUCACUGCUGCCAGCAAACUCUUUCUUCACAUCAUUUCUGAAGUCAUUGCGCUGCUCAUUUACUCUUCACACAUUGCAGGUCAGGGAGGCCUUCUUACAUGUCAACCGGCGAGGCUCGCCCGCAUCCUUACCCUACUGUCGUUGUUGCUCAUUUCUUGUGGAGUCGGCAGCAUCCGCUGCUCCUCCUCAACGACGACAAUCCAUGAUAACAGCACCGACAUGAUCUCACUGCUAGAUUUCAAGCGGGCCAUCACCAACGACUCAAGUCAAGCCUUGAGAUCUUGGCACGUCGGCGUCCCCCUUUGCGGAUGGAAGGGCGUCGUCUGCAGCGACCCGAAGCACCUGGGCCGAGUCAUCGAGCUGAACCUUAUGAACCUAUCAUUGUCGGGCACGAUUUCACCGUCGCUCGGGAAUCUAACAUUCCUUAGGAGACUGGACCUGUUCAGUAAUGGCUGCACCAGCAAGAUACCUCCUCUCAACCGUCUCCAAAGAUUGGAAUACCUUGACUUGGGGUACAAUUCACUGCAAGGGAUCAUUCCGAAUACUCUUACAAACUGCUCCAAUCUAUGGUACCUAGUCCUGUCUAGCAACUUACUAAUAGGAGAAGUUCCCAGCGGUAUAGGCUGCCUAUCCAAUCUAGUGUCGUUAGAGCUUGGAGGAAAUAAUCUCACUGGAGAAAUCCCACCAAGCCUAAAAAACAGCAGUCAGCUUGAAUACAUCUGGCUUGCUGAUAAUAAGCUCACCGGAACCAUUCCUGAUGAGUUGGGAAAACUACCAAAUCUUUCUUAUUUAUACCUUGAAGAAAAUAGGCUAUCAGGUCGAAUCCCAAAAACCCUGUACAAAUACAAUCAGUCUUGUCUCAAAAUUUUAGACUUAAGUUCCAAUAUGCUUGGGAAAACUCUGUCAUCUAACUUUGGUGACACCCUCCUGAAUCUUUGA
rnacentral:rRNA from 1 species